CUGAACCAGCCAAGUAGCGUGAAGGAUGACUGCCCUAUGGGUUGUAAACUUCUUUUAUACGGGAAUAAAGUGAGGCACGUGUGCCUUUUUGUAUGUACCGUAUGAAUAAGGAUCGGCUAACUCCGCGCCAGCAGCCGCGGUAAUACGGAGGAUCCGAGCGUUAUCCGGAUUUAUUGGGUUUAAAGGGAGCGUAGGCGGACGCUUAAGUCAGUUGUGAAAGUUUGCGG
rnacentral:rRNA from 1 species